AUGGCAUUGGGCAGUUUCGUUGCCGCCGCAGUGGCGGUCACGUUGUCACAAAAGAAGAGACGUACUCGCAACAGGGCCUCGCAGGAACGACUGACUUCAUUGACUGACAGAUUUACCAAUGAUCAGAAGGGAGCUGCUGCUGAGAUGGGUAUGCAGGCUCUGAUGGAUGUCCGGUGCAAGAAUCUAGUCAACCCUGUAUGCGACUGGCAUGGUGAGAUUUACGACCCCGCCUCCAGGGAAUUUGUGAUUCCAGGACGUGGAAGACUGCCGUUAAACGAGGAAUCCGUGUUCUGCACUCUGGGUGUGCACCGUGGAGAAAUCAAAGUCCCGUAUGAGGUCAAUAAUAAGAUCGAGGAAACGUUGUUCCCUCGUUUGUUUCCUGGGUUGGAAUCCAUGCCGAACACGUCUUCCCUGGCAGAUUCGCUGCAGUCCAUGACAACCCAUGGCAAGGUUUUUAAGAUGAAACUACUCAUGUACCUCAUCUCAGCUGUUUUCACGCCGACCACUUCUCUUCGCCCAAGCAACAAAUGCUUCCCCAUCCUGGCGAAACUGAAAGAUGUGAAGAACAUGAAUUGGUGUAAGUUCAUUGCCGACUUCCUACAUGAUGCAUUCUCAAGCAAGAUGUACCAGAAAGGUUGUCGACUGCAUUUAAUGCUCAUGUACGUCGACUGUCUUGAUCUGUCCAUCGUGGAUUUCACUGGGACAGGAGGCCCGCCGCCUACACACAAGUUUGCUGUUUCUGUGUGGACUUACAAUGCUGUCAAGGCUGUGCUUGCUGCAGACAGGGUAACUGAUACCAAAUAUGGAAAACUGCAGCUGAUGGCCAAGCAUGCUAUAGACUACAGCGUGUUUGGGGGGCCUCAAAACUUUGGAAAGUGGAUGGAUGUGCACUCAGCUCUGUGUUGCCCUACUGAGGGCACCUGUUGA
rnacentral:rRNA from 1 species